UACGUAGGGCGCAAGCGUUGUCCGGAAUUAUUGGGCGUAAAGAGCUCGUAGGCGGUUUGUCGCGUCUGCUGUGAAAACCUAAGGCUCAACCUUGGGCUUGCAGUGGGUACGGGCAGACUAGAGUGCGGUAGGGGUGACUGGAAUUCCUGGUGUAGCGGUGGAAUGCGCAGAUAUCAGGAGGAACACCGAUGGCGAAGGCAGGUCACUGGGCCGCAACUGACGCUGGAGGAGCGAAAGCAUGGGGGGCGAACAGG
rnacentral:rRNA from 1 species